UAAAAUAAUUAAGGGCACACAAAGGAUGCCUAGGUAGUAAGAGCCGAUGAAGGACGUGGUAAGCUGCGAUAAGCCUAGAUAAGUUGCAAUCGAACGUAAGAGUCUAGGAUUUCCGAAUGGAGCAAUCUAUUAAGAUGGAGUCUUAAUACGAAAGAGGGAACCGCGUGAACUGAAACAUCUAAGUAACGCGAGGAAAAGAAAGUAAAAACGAUACCCAAAGUAGCGGCGAGCGAAAUGGGUCAAGCCUAAACCUUAAAUAUGUCAAGGAUACAGCCGUUGUAUUUAGGGGGUUGAGGGACAGAGUAGUGAAGAACUGUAAGAUAUUCAAUAUAGUGUAUUGAUGAAUUGGAAUUGUCUGGAAAGGCGAACCGUAGAAGGUGAAAGUCCUGUACAAGUAAAUCCUUACACAUAUAACUCUGCUCCCAAGUAACAUGGAACACGAGGAAUUCUGUGUGAAUCUGUGAGGACCAUAUCUCAUAAGGCUAAAUACUCUUACUAACCGAUAGCGCAUAGUACCGUGAGGGAAAGGUGAAAAGAACCCCUGGAGGGGAGUGAAAUAGAACCUGAAAUUGUGUGCUUACAAGCGGUCAGAGCCAGCAAUGGUGAUGGCGUGCCUUUUGGAGAAUGAUCCUGCGAGUUACGUUAAACGGCGAGGUUAAGUAUAACGGAGCCGAAGGGAAACCAAGUCUUAAUAGGGCGAUUUAGUCGUUUGGCGUAGACGCGAAACCUGGUGAUCUAAACCUGUCCAGGAUGAAGCUGUGGUAAGACACAGUGGAGGUCCUAACCCACCGCCGUUGAAAAGUUGGGGGAUGAGGUAGGUUUAGGGGUGAAAAGCCAAUCGAACCAGGAGAUAGCUCGUUCUCUCCGAAAUGCAUCUAGGUGCAGCCUUGAGUGUUCAAUUAUGGGGGUAGAGCACUGAAUGAUCUAGGGGGCAUAUUGCUUACUGAAAUCAAUCAAACUCCGAAUACCAUAAUUUAUAGCUCAGGAGUGAGACUAUGGGAGUUAACUUCCAUUGUCAAAAGGGAAACAACCCAGACCACCAGCUAAGGUCCCUAAUUAUAACUAAGUGGGAAAGGAGGUGGAGAUUCACAAACAACUAGGAGGUUGGCUUAGAAGCAGCCAUACCUUUAAAGAGUGCGUAAUAGCUCACUAGUCGAGAGUCUCUGCGCCGACAAUGUAACGGGGCUAAGUUAUAAACCGAAGCUGUGGAAUCCGUAAGGAUUGGUAGGAGAGCGUUCUGUAGGCCGUUGAAGGAGAAGGGUAACCGACUCUGGAGGUAUCAGAAGUGAGAAUGCAGGAAUAAGUAGCGAGAAAGGGGGCGAGAAUCCCCCUCGCCGGAAGACCAAGGUUUUCAGGGUAAAGCUUGUCUUCCCUGAGUAAGCCGGGACCUAAGCCCAGGCUAUAAUGCGUAGGCGAAUGGAAAACAGAUUAAUAUUUCUGUGCCAGUCAUUUAUUGUGAUGGAGGGACGCAGAAGGGUAUGUGCGCGGACGAUCGGUUGUGUCCGUAGAAGUAUAUAGGGUGACUUAGUAGGAAAAUCCAUUAAGUUAUAUCUGAGGUAUGAUAUACAGUCGUAAGAUGAAUGUGCAAAUCCCACGCUGCCAAGAAAAGCUUCUAGCGUUAAUAUAUGACUGCCCGUACUGUAAACCGACACAGGUGGUCAGGAUGAGAAAUCUAAGGCGGACAGGCUAACUCUCGUUAAGGAACUCUGCAAAAUAACCUCGUAACUUCGGGAGAAGAGGAGCCCUUGAGGGUCAGUAUCCACGCGAUACAAAGCGCUCGAGGGUCGCAGUGAAGAGGCUCAAGCAACUGUUUAACAAAAACACAGGUCUAUGCUAAGCUGGAAGGCGAUGUAUAUGGGCUGACACCUGCCCAGUGCUGGAAGGUUAAGAGGAGGAGUGAGAGCUCCGAAUUGAAGCCCCAGUGAACGGCGGCCGUAACUAUAACGGUCCUAAGGUAGCGAAAUUCCUUGUCGGGUAAG
rnacentral:rRNA from 1 species